rnacentral:rRNA from 1 species
GCCAAUCAAACUCCGUGAUAGCUGGUUCUCUCCGAAAUGCAUUUAGGUGCAGCCUGUAUUUGAAGGUCUUGAAGAGGUAGAGCUCUGGAAAGGCUAGGGGGAUCGAGAGAUCUUACCAAACCUUACUAAACUUCGAAUGCUUCAAGGAAUAAUACAGAGUGGGACUAUGGGAGCAAGUUUCAUAGUCGAAAGGAUAACAGUCCAGACUUCUGAUUAAGGUCCCUAAAGUAAUGCUAAGUGGAAAAAGAGGUGUCUUUGCUUAUACAUCCAGGAGGUUUGCCUAGAAGCAGCAAUCCUUUAAAGAAAGCGUAAUAGCUCACUGGACUAGCGAAGAUGCGCUGAAGAUGUAACGGGGCUAAGCAUUAUACCGAAAUCGAAGACCAGUGUAGAAAUACACUGUGUGGUAGGAGAGUGUUCUUACAGGAUGAAGCUACACUGUGAGGUGUGGUCGACUAGUAAGAAGUAAAAAUGCUGACAUGAGUAACGCUUAUUGAUGAAAAUUCAAUAUAUCGAAACCCUAAGGAUUCCUACGCAACGUUCAUCGUCGUAGGGUUAGUCGGGACCUAAGGCGCAUCCUGAAAAGGAUGGUCGAUGGAUAACUGGUUAAUAUUCCAGUACUUAUUUAUAGAGUGAUGGGGUGACGCAUCGAGAUUUGUAAGAGCUUAUUAAGGAUUUGAGUCGAAAGAGUGAGGUUUUUAUGACGUUAGUCGUAAAGGUAGUUGCAGGAAAAUCCACAACUAUUGAUACUGAGCUUGAUCGGGAUUUAACUCCUCGGAGUUAGAAAUUCUUAUCGUUUUGGUGCCGAGAAAAACCUCUAAACUUAAUCUAUAGAUAACCCGUACCCAGAUCAGACACUUGUGGGGUGGUAGAGAAUACUAAGAUAAUCGAGAUAACUAAUGGGUAAGGAACUUGGCAAAUUAGCGGACGUACUUUCGAAAUAAGUCCUGUCCCGAGCAAUCGGGAUCGCAGCGAAAGAGAUGGGGGGAACUGUUUAUCAAAAACACAGCUCGCUGCUAACUCGUAAGAGGAUGUAUAGCGGGUGAUGCCUGUCCAAUGCCAGAAUGUUAUGCUCUCUUGUGCAAGCUCGAGGGUUAAGCACUGGUGAAUGACGGCCGUAACUAUGACGGUCCUAAGGUAGCGAAAUUCCUUGUCAGGUAAGUUCUGACGCGCAUGAAUGGCAUAAUCAUCCCCAUGCUGUCUUACCCUUAGACUCGGUGAAAUUACAUUCCCGGUAAAAAUGCCGGGUAGUCACAGUUAGACGGAAAGACCCUGUGAAGCUUUACUGUAGAUUGAUAUUGGACUGUAGCAUGUUUUGCUCAGUAUAGGUGGGAGGCUUUGAUGUUUCGACUUCGGUUGGGGCGGAGCCAAAAGUGAGAUACCACCCAAGAUAUGUAGCAAUUCUAAUCCCUAGGUUGGGAGACAGUUUCAGUUGGACAGUUUACCUGGGGCGGGUGCCUCCUAAAAAGUAGCGGAGGCGUGCAAAGGUUUGCUUACUACGGAUGGAAACCGUGGUGAAUGUGUAUUCGCAUAAGCAAGCUUGACUGUGAGACUGACAGGUCGAACAGAUACGAAAGUAGGCGAAAGUGAUCCGGAUCUUCCGAGUGGAAGGGGAUCCGCUCAACGGAUAAAAGUUACUCCGGGGAUAACAGGCUAAUGGAAUCUAAGCGUUCAUAGCGACGAUUCCGUUUGGCACCUCGAUGUCGACUCGUCGCAUCCUGGGGCUGUAGAAGGUCCCAAGGGUUGGGUUGUUCACCCAUUAAAGCGGUACGCGAGCUGGGUUCAGAACGUCGUGAGACAGUUCGGUCCC